rnacentral:rRNA from 1 species
UGAGUACGAGCUGCUACGGCAGCGAAGUGGGUGAUGUCAAGCUUCCAAGAAAAGCCCUAGACCCGUUAAGGCAUGACGGCCUGUACCCGAAACCGACACAGGUGGGGUGGUAGAGAAUACCGAGGGGCGCGAGAUAACUCUCUCUAAGGAACUCGGCAAAAUGGCCCCGUAACUUCGGGAGAAGGGGUGCCACCGCAAGGUGGUCGCAGUGAAGAGGCCCAGGCGACUGUUUACCAAAAACACAGGUCUCCGCUAAGUCGCAAGACGAUGUAUGGGGGCUGACGCCUGCCCAGUGCCGGAAGGUUAAGGAAGCUGGUCAGCGCAAGCGAAGCUAGCGACUGAAGCCCCGGUGAACGGCGGCCGUAACUAUAACGGUCCUAAGGUAGCGAAAUUCCUUGUCGGGUAAGUUCCGACCCGCACGAAAGGCGUAACGAUCUGGGCGCUGUCUCGGAGAGAGGCUCGGCGAAAUAGAAUUGUCUGUGAAGAUGCGGACUACGUGCACCCGGACAGAAAGACCCUAUGAAGCUUUACUGUAGCUUGGUAUUGUGCCCGGGCUCUGAAUGCGCAGGAUAGGUGGGAGGCUUUGAUCCAUGGCUUGCGGGUCAUGGUGAGCCAACGGUGAGAUACCACUCUUUCAGAGCUAGGGUUCUAACAGCCACCCGUUAUCCGGGGGCUGGACAGUAUCAGGUGGGCAGUUUGACUGGGCGGUCGCCUCCUAAAAGGUAACGGAGGCGCGCAAAGGUUUGCUCAGGCUGGUUGGAAAUCAGCCGACGAGUGUAAAAGCAGAAGCAAGCUUGACUGUGAGACCAACAAGUCGAACAGGGACGAAAGUCGGCUUUAGUGAUCCGACGGUUCUGAGUGGAAGGGCCGUCGCUCAACGGAUAAAAGUUACUCUAGGAUAACAGGCUGAUCUCCCCCAAGAGUUCACAUCGACGGGGAGGUUUGGCACCUCGAUGUCGGCUCAUCGCAACCUGGGGCUGAAGUCGGUCCCAAGGGUUGGGCUGUUCGCCCAUUAAAGCGGUACGCGAGCUGGGUUCAGAACGUUGUGAGACAGUUCGGUCCAUAUCCGGUGCAUGCGUAAGAACAUUGAGAGGAGUUCUCCCUAGUACGAGAGGACCGGGAGGAACGCACCUCUGGUGUACCAGUUAUCGUGCCAACGGUAAACGCUGGGUAGCCAUGUGCGGAGAGGAUAACCGCUGAAAGCAUCUAAGUGGGAAGCCCACCUCAAGAUGAGUGUUCUCAUGGCUUAAGCCAGUAAGGUCACGGGAAGAACACCCGUUGAUAGGCCCUACGUGGAAGCGCAGCAAUGUGUGAAGCGGAGGAGUACUAC